CUACACUUGGCUCACUGGAUGCCUCUGACCAAAACUUUAAAUCUGGAUCAGGACUCCACACCAUGCCCCAAUCUAGACUUAAAGUUUUGGUCAGAGGCAUCCAAUGAGCCAAGUGUAG
rnacentral:pre_miRNA from 1 species